GAUGAAGAACGUAGCGAAAUGCGAUAAGUAAUGCGAAUUGCAGAAUUCCGUGAGUCAUCGAAUCUUUGAACGCACAUUGCGCCCUCUGGUAUUCCGGAGGGCAUGCCUGUCUGAGCGUCAUUGUCAACCCUCAAGCUCAGCUUGCUGUUGGGUCCCCGUCGUUGCUUUAACGGCGGACCCGAAAGGUAAUGGCAGAGUCCGUGAGACCCUAGACGCAGCGAGCUUCUAGCACGCGUCUGGACGUUUUUCGGGCUCGGUCUUAACUAGAUGAUAACUUCCGAUUGACCUCAGAUCAGGCAGGGAUACCCGCUGAACUUAAGCAUAUCAAUAAGCGGAGGA
rnacentral:misc_RNA from 1 species